UUUAUUUUAGUAAUAAUCAUUCGUUCUACUAGGGACCUGUGCUAGCAAAAAACAUUUCAUACUCCUGAUAUACAUGUGAAAUUCAUUGAGGAGAGAGACAUUAGUCGCUAGGACGAAUAUGUUUCGUGACAAAACUAAUUGUUGAUUUUAAUAGCCUGACACUGCUGCAGCAUUCCAGAACGCAAAUGUAUUGCUUAGUUAUAACAUAGAUGUUCGCUGUUUGUCCGGAUUAUCUAGUAAAGUCUUCACAUUCAAUAGAUUUGAUUACUCAGCAUAAAACAAUAGUCACUAAUAAGUGCAUAUCCUAGAGACCAUCCAGAUAACCGUCAUUUGUUGUACAAAAGUUGUUGACAGAUUUUAAACUCCAUCACUGUUGCGCUAGGUGAUAAGACCAGUGCGAGGUUGCAUAACUGUGACUUUUUAUAUGUACAUUGCAUCGUAGACGUACUUAUUGUGUGUGUGGCUCAUACUCGUGGCAAAAACGCAUUUAUUAAAGAUGCCAUUAUUUGGAAAGAAAGAUUCCGGCAAGAAAGUACGAAAGGAUACAAAGGAAAUCGAAAAGCAACCAUGCAUCGAAGACAAGUAUGUUAUAAAAGAAUUACUCGGAACUGGGGCGUUCUCGGAAGUACGUCUUUGCGAACAUCGCGAGACGGGUCAGGCAUUUGCCGUUAAGAUUAUCGAUAAGAAAGCCUUGAAAGGCAAAGAGGAUUCUUUAGAGAACGAGAUUCGGGUACUGAAGCGAUUUAGUGCCAAAAGGCAAGAAAAUGAUCCCGAUAACACAUGGUUUACUCAUCCAAACAUAGUGCAACUAUUUGAAACGUACGAAGAUAAAUCAAAAGUCUACUUAAUUAUGGAACUGGUUACCGGCGGUGAACUUUUCGACCGCAUUGUUGAAAAAGGAUCUUAUACAGAAAAGGAUGCGUCUUAUCUAAUUCGUCAAGUACUUGAAGCUGUAGAUUAUAUGCAUGAACAAGGCGUAGUACAUAGAGAUUUGAAACCUGAAAAUCUGUUGUACUACAAUCCUGCGGAAGACAGUAAAAUAAUGAUUAGCGACUUUGGGCUUUCGAAGAUGGAAGACUCUGGCUUUAUGGCCACGGCAUGUGGUACUCCUGGAUAUGUAGCACCUGAGGUGUUAGCCCAAAAACCUUACGGCAAAGCGGUUGAUGUUUGGAGUAUAGGGGUAAUAUCGUACAUUUUACUAUGCGGAUAUCCACCAUUUUAUGACGAGAAUGAUGCCAACUUAUUUGCACAAAUUUUAAAGGGUGAAUUUGAGUUUGAUUCCCCCUAUUGGGAUGAGAUAAGUGAAUCAGCAAAAGAUUUUAUCAGGAACCUAAUGUGUGUGAAUGUAGAGAGAAGGUUUACGUGUAAACUAGCGCUCGCGCACCCAUGGAUUUCCGGGAACGCAGCUAGCAGUAAGAACAUCCACGGAACCGUUUCCGAGCAGCUUAAGAAAAAUUUUGCCAAGUCGCGUUGGAAGCAGGCCUAUCACGCAGCAACUGUUAUACGUCAAAUGCAACGAAUGGCUCUGAGUAGUAGCGGAGGUGCAUAUGGUCGCAGUUCAACUCAACUGAACGCCCCAGCAGCUGACGCAACUGCAACGCAGGACACUGCAUCUGGCAGCAAGUAAAAUAUUGGAACCGCUUCAAAUUGUUGCAACAGUUACAUCGCAGAAAUACAGCUAUAUCAUGACAUAAAGGCAGUUUUGCAAUACUAAAUGUAUCUAUCUGUUCCACGACAGGAACAGGAGUCGCAAAUUGAAGUGUAUAUAAUUCAUCCUUAAGUGAAUUUGAAACGUCAAACAUUAAACCUUCAUCACACUCCCCACUUUCGAAAUCCUUAUUGAUUAGUAGCUAUAGCAAAUGCGAUAAAAACAAAACUGUUUGUCCAUCAUUCUUUAUACUGUAGUUAGUUUUAUACUUGUUAACAAUCGGUUUUGUUAUGCUAUUUAGUUUGACAGUGGAUUGCCACUCAUUGACAAAAGAGCGAUGUACUGAGUGGUUCAGAGCCAAAAAAGGUUGAUUUCAGGCAAAAUUAAAUGUGAAACUUUCUUGAUGCCGUUGAGAGAAAACUCUUAAAGUUAGCUAAAAAGCUUCCAG